CCUAUGCCGUAGCAAGCAUCUCUAUCUUAAAACCACUAAAGCCAUUGCCACCACCCUAGGUGAGCAGGAUUACGAGCCGGAACCGUCGAUCCCCACGCGAAGGCCAAGGCAGACAACCUGUGUGGGGCACGCUGACAAGCUCAUUAGCAAAAUCUAAAAUUACGCGUCCGGGAUCGGGGCGGUGCUGGGGCAUCGCGCAGGCACAGGGACACCCGCUGUGCCGUCCCCACCGAGCCGGGUCGCGGCGCGGCUUCGCGGCGGGGGGCCCAGCGGGAAGCGGCUGGAGGAGCCGGCAGCGCCCGGGGGGGACCUCGGGGGCACCGCCUGGUCAGGUUUGGCGACAUUGAAGCCCUCAGCCUUUAGAAAGACACCGGCUUUACUGCUGUUUACAUUUUCAACAGCGCCAUGAUUCGCAUCGCGAACGCCGGCACGCUGCCUGAAAAACCGAAUGGGAACGCGAACGCCCUGGCCAAGCCCGACUGCGGGACGGUGCCUGCGCGGGGGGUGUUGGUGGCUGAAACGCAAAAAAGCCGCAAAGCCUGAGUCCGGCGGGGCGGACGGCCGCGGCAGGCAGCGGCGCACGGCGGCCCCGCGCAGGGGAACGGCGCCGCCCCACCGCAGCGGGAAGCCGGGAGCAGCCGCUGGGGCCCGGGCCCGGGCCGGAUCUGCGCGCCCCCACCGCAGCGAGCCCGGGCCGCGGCCGCCCCGCCGAGCGCCCGGCUGCCCGCUGCCCACGCAGGACGCAGCCGCGCCCGGCCCGGCGGCGGCUGGCGGGGAACCGGCUGGCAGGGAGCCCCGAUCCCGCCCCGGCGCAGCCACCGCGGUUCCCGGCGCGCCCCGCGGCACGCCGUGGCCUGCAGCUCCCGGCACGGCUGUGGGCCGCCAGCCUCCCGGCGGACUACAGCUCCCGUCAUGCAGUGUGGCAGCGGGGCCCGCACACCGCCGGUGCCGCCGCGCAGUGCAGGCCGGGAGCGGUAGUUUUGUCGGCGGGAGACGCGCCCUCCUCCUCAGCGAGGGGUCGCCGGUGCGGGCGGUGCCAGCGCUCACUGCCGCGCCGGAGCCGCCAUGCCGGAGGGGAAGGCAGCGUUCCGGGAGGUGCUACCCAAGCAAGGGCAGCUGUCGGUGGAGGACACGGCCGGCAUGGUGCUGUGCAAGCCCAAGGUGCUGCCCCUCAAGUCGGUGUCGCUGGAGAAGCUGGAGAAGCUGCAGCGGGCGGCGCUCGAGGCGGCGCGGCCGGAGGGGGCAGCGCCGCAGCCACAGCCCUAGCCGGUCCCGGGAGGGGCGGGGGCCCGGACCCGCAGCCCGGAGCAGGUGACAGAACCUCGGCCGGGCCCUUUCGGACAGCGGGGGGCGGCGAGUGACACCCCCCCACCGGCCCCAGUAACGGCUUACCAGGCUCUCUCGAGUGCUGCGGCGCUCCUCUCCCGGAGCACAGCGUGUUCCCGGCCCUGUCACGGCUAUUCCCAGCAUUGCUAAACACCUGAAAUCUUAACAUGAAACCGAGAAACACAAGGGAGCAGGAGAGGCUCCGCCGCGCUGCUUAAGAGAGUCUUAGAUCCGCCUUGUUGUUGAGAAAGGGCUUGCCAAAGCUGCUCUGCAUAGACAGCGUUCAAGACACCUCGGUGGCAGCCUGGAUGCUCCUACGCAAGCCACUUGUUUUUCAAAAACAUAUUUGGGUUUUUUUCCCCCACUGUAGCUGAGUUUUUCACUGUCGCCUACACGGAUCAUUGUGACACCUGAAUCCUCCAUCUCAAUACUGUAGUGAUCUCUGCCAAGCAAACCAGCAAAACAGAGGAGUGGCAGGCCUUCGUCCUCCGGAGAGCAUACAGGCAAUGCUGCCUGCGACUCACUGGAGGCUUAUUUUCCUCAAUAAUUUAUUCCAUCCUCCACAUAACAGGUUUCACAUCACUGCAGCUUCUUAAUAAACUUUUUACCAUUCCAACCCUCUGCUUCUCCAUCCUCCGUAGUUUCCAGUUCUAAUCUGUAAUACCUCGGUCAUAACAUCCUGCUUUCUGUAACUUACAAUUGGGACAAAAAGCAGUGCCCUCACCUAUCUACAAUAAAACAAGUACCUUGAAGGACA